rnacentral:rRNA from 1 species
AGAGUUUGAUCCUGGCUCAGGAUGAACGCUAGCGGCAGGCUUAACACAUGCAAGUCGAGGGGUAACAGAGGUAGCUUGCUACUUGCUGACGACCGGCGCACGGGUGCGUAACGCGUAUACAAUCUACCUUAUACAUAGGGAUAGCCUUUAGAAAUGAAGAUUAAUACCUUAUAGUCUAUUAAUAUAGCAUUAUAUAAAUAGUAAAGCUUCGGCGGUAUAAGAUGAGUAUGCGUCCUAUUAGUUAGUUGGUAAGGUAACGGCUUACCAAGACAACGAUAGGUAGGGGCCCUGAGAGGGGGAUCCCCCACACUGGUACUGAGACACGGACCAGACUCCUACGGGAGGCAGCAGUGAGGAAUAUUGGACAAUGGAGGAAACUCUGAUCCAGCCAUGCCGCGUGCAGGAAGACGGCCCUAUGGGUUGUAAACUGCUUUUAUAUAGGAAGAAACCUUUUCACGUGUGAGAAGCUGACGGUACUAUAAGAAUAAGGACCGGCUAACUCCGUGCCAGCAGCCGCGGUAAUACGGAGGGUCCGAGCGUUAUCCGGAAUCAUUGGGUUUAAAGGGUCCGUAGGCGGGAAUCUAAGUCAGUGGUGAAAUCUUACAGCUCAACUGUAAAAUUGCCAUUGAUACUGGGUUUCUUGAAUUAGUGUGAAGUGAUUAGAAUGUGUAGUGUAGCGGUGAAAUGCAUAGAUAUUACACAGAAUACCAAUUGCGAAGGCAGAUCACUAACACUAUAUUGACGCUGAGGGACGAAAGCGUGGGGAGCGAACAGGAUUAGAUACCCUGGUAGUCCACGCCGUAAACGAUGGAUACUAGCUGUUCGAUCUUCGGAUUGAGUGGCUAAGCGAAAGUGAUAAGUAUCCCACCUGGGGAGUACGUUCGCAAGAAUGAAACUCAAAGGAAUUGACGGGGGCCCGCACAAGCGGUGGAGCAUGUGGUUUAAUU